UACGAAGGGGGGCUAGCGUUGCUCGGAAUCACUGGGCGUAAAGCGCACGUAGGCGGCUUUCUAAGUCAGGGGUGAAAUCCUGGAGCUCAACUCCAGAACUGCCUUUGAUACUGGAAAGCUUGAGUUCGGGAGAGGUGAGUGGAACUGCGAGUGUAGAGGUGAAAUUCGUAGAUAUUCGCAAGAACACCAGUGGCGGAAGGCGACUCACUGGACACGUAUGACGCUGAGGUGCGAAAGCGUGGGGAGCAAA
rnacentral:rRNA from 1 species